ACGAACGCUGGCGGCGUGCCUAAUACAUGCAAGUCGAGCGAAUCAUUAGGAGCUUGCUCCUGAUGGUUAGCGGCGGACGGGUGAGUAACACGUGGGCAACCUGCCUGUAAGACUGGGAUAACACCGGGAAACCGGUGCUAAUACCGGAUAAUUCUUCACCUCACAUGAGGGAAAGCUGAAAGUCGGUUUCGGCUGACACUUAUAGAUGGGCCCGCGGCGCAUUAGCUUGUUGGUGAGGUAAUGGCUCACCAAGGCGACGAUGCGUAGCCGACCUGAGAGGGUGAUCGGCCACACUGGGACUGAGACACGGCCCAGACUCCUACGGGAGGCAGCAGUAGGGAAUCUUCCGCAAUGGACGAAAGUCUGACGGAGCAACGCCGCGUGAGUGAUGAAGGCCUUCGGGUCGUAAAACUCUGUUGUUAGGGAAGAACAAGUAUCGGAGUAACUGCCGGUACCUUGACGGUACCUAACCAGAAAGCCACGGCUAACUACGUGCCAGCAGCCGCGGUAAUACGUAGGUGGCAAGCGUUGUCCGGAAUUAUUGGGCGUAAAGCGCGCGCAGGCGGUCCUUUAAGUCUGAUGUGAAAGCCCACGGCUCAACCGUGGAGGGUCAUUGGAAACUGGGGGACUUGAGUGCAGAAGA
rnacentral:rRNA from 1 species